AGCGAACGCUGGCGGCAUGCUUAACACAUGCAAGUCGCACGGGUGGGUUUCGGCCCAUCAGUGGCGGACGGGUGAGUAACGCGUAGGGAUUUAUCCACGGGUGGGGGACAACCGCGGGAAACCGCGGCUAAUACCGCAUGACGACCUUGGCUGAAGGGCUGGGGUCCAAAGCCUGCGAGGGCGCCUGUGGCGGAGCCUGCGUCCGAUUAGCUUGUUGGCGGGGUAACGGCCCACCAAGGCGUCGAUCGGUAGCUGGUCUGAGAGGAUGGCCAGCCAC
rnacentral:rRNA from 1 species